rnacentral:rRNA from 1 species
CACGUAGGGGCGCAAGCGUUUGUCCGGAAUUAUUGGGCGUAAAGCGAGUGCAGGCGGUUCAAUAAGUCUGAUGUGAAAGCCUUCGGCUCAACCGGAGAAUUGCAUCAGAAACUGUUGAACUUGAGUGCAGAAGAGGAGAGUGGAACUCCAUGUGUAGCGGUGGAAUGCGUAGAUAUAUGGAAGAACACCAAUGGCGAAGGCGGCUCUCUGGUCUGCAACUGACGCUGAGGCUCGAAAGCAUGGGUAGCGAACAGG